rnacentral:ribozyme from 1 species
AGCCGACUGGGCGGCUAUAAACAGGCUUCAGGCCCAGAGCGUCAGAUGCCGGAAGGCAUCUGGGUAGCA